rfam:Schistosoma haematobium scaffold1335_4, whole genome shotgun sequence.
AUCCAACUGAUUAGUCCCAAAUAGGACGAAAUGCACUUUGUCCUGGAU